rnacentral:ncRNA from 1 species
AAAGUAGGGGAGCUCACAUGGGCUGAGAGGACGCAAGUCGACCCUUAACCUGAUACGGAUAAUGCCGUCGUAGGGAGAAGAGUGA